rnacentral:tRNA from 1 species
UCACUGGUGGUCCAGAGGUUAGGACUCCCUGCUUCCAAGGCAGGCGGCACAGAUUCAAUCCCUGGUCAGGGAA